UUUUAAGAACCUGUUUGAAAAUAAAUCACGAAAUAACCUUAUCUCCAUGAAAGGAACCAGAUUUAUAGCAUUCAUCUCUUUUCUCAAGGCAAAGUAUAAUCAAACUACUUUGUGUUAUUGUAAACUUCUGAACACAGAUGUAAAUCUUGUUUAUCUUUAUAUGUUGUAACUUACAGUGUUGUAGAGCGAUGUCAAGGUAUUGCUUUACAUUUUUUCCCCUUCCCAAGCAAAUCAAACCAAGUCAAAAGAAAAACGUAAAAAAAUAAAAACAGUAGUAGUAUAGGUUCUGAGAUUUUUAUCAAUUAGUACAGAAACUUUUUUUUUUUUAAUUUUUAAAUUUUUAUUUAUUUAUGAUAGUCACAGAGAGAGAGAGAGAGAGGCAGAGACACAGGCAGAGGGAGAAGCAGGCUCCAUGCACCGGGAGCCCGACGUGGGAUUCGAUCCCGGGUCUCCAGGAUCGUGCCCCGGGCCAAAGGCAGGCACCAAACCGCUGCGCCACCCAGGGAUCCCUAGUACAGAAACUUUAAUGGAAGUAAUUUUUCAUGAGAAACACUGGGCGAAGAAAAAUGUAACACAUUUUAUUAUCUUCCAGCCUUCAGCAUUGAGGAGACUGUGCAUAUAGGUUAUGCUUAGAAUUUAAACAGGAGAUGGGCUUCAUCUGAUUCUGGCAUCAUGUGGACUAUGGUGGUAAGGGGCAAGAAGUGAUGAAAGAGGGACAACUGUUCUAUAUAUACUAUUGACAUUAACUGGUGAGUGUCCUUUUUUGGCCAUCUGUAUGACCUACUAUGUCUUUAGGAGACUUCUUUUUUUUAAUAUGUAUUUUGCCUCUUCCUAGCUCCUCUUACUCAUAAUGUGCUCUAAAUGUGACUCGUCAGUGUUUAGUACUUUGUAAGUUUUUUCUUUACACCACCUCCCCAAGAAAAAAUUUUCAUGUAUCCUUCUAUCUAGUUCUUUCUGUUUCUUAAGCUACUAAAUGUUUGGUCAUUUUUAUAUCACUGCUUACAGAUUAAAAUACCAUUGUCAAAUUGUAAGCUUUCAACAAAUUAAAGAUUGAAACUAGGAAU